UACGAGGGGGGCUAGCGUUGCUCGGAAUUACUGGGCGUAAAGGGCGCGUAGGCGGACGGCUUUGUCGGGCGUGAAAUUCCAGGGCUUAACCUUGGGGCUGCGUUCGAGACGGGUUGUCUAGAGUUUGGAAGAGGGUCGUGGAAUUCCCAGUGUAGAGGUGAAAUUCGUAGAUAUUGGGAAGAACACCGGUGGCGAAGGCGGCGACCUGGUCCUUGACUGACGCUGAGGCGCGAAAGCGUGGGGAGCAAACAGG
rnacentral:rRNA from 1 species